UCCCUGUGAUGAUUAGUCUCCAGUCUUACAUGCUGUGUAGAGGCAGAACCUGCAAAGGUGAACCCACUGUCUCUCUCAGUGUGAAAUGAGGAUUGCUUGUUUUCCAAAACAGUCUGAUGGGAC